ACUAACUGGAGGACCGAACCGACUAAUGUUGAAAAAUUAGCGGAUGACUUGUGGCUGGGGGUGAAAGGCCAAUCAAACCGGGAGAUAGCUGGUUCUCCCCGAAAGCUAUUUAGGUAGCGCCUCGUGAAUUCAUCUCCGGGGGUAGAGCACUGUUUCGGCAAGGGGGUCAUCCCGACUUACCAACCCGAUGCAAACUGCGAAUACCGGAGAAUGUUAUCACGGGAGACACACGGCGGGUGCUAACGUCCGUCGUGAAGAGGGAAACAACCCAGACCGCCAGCUAAGGUCCCAAAGUCAUGGUUAAGUGGGAAACGAUGUGGGAAGGCCCAGACAGCCAGGAUGUUGGCUUAGAAGCAGCCAUCAUUUAAAGAAAGCGUAAUAGCUCACUGGUCGAGUCGGCCUGCGCGGAAGAUGUAACGGGGCUAAACCAUGCACCGAAGCUGCGGCAGCGACGCUGAUGCGUUGUUGGGUAGGGGAGCGUUCUGUAAGCCUGCGAAGGUGUGCUGUGAGGCAUGCUGGAGGUAUCAGAAGUGCGAAUGCUGACAUAAGUAACGAUAAAGCGGGUGAAAAGCCCGCUCGCCGGAAGACCAAGGGUUCCUGUCCAACGUUAAUCGGGGCAGGGUGAGUCGACCCCUAAGGCGAGGCCGAAAGGCGUAGUCGAUGGGAAACAGGUUAAUAUUCCUGUACUUGGUGUUACUGCGAAGGGGGGACGGAGAAGGCUAUGUUGGCCGGGCGACGGUUGUCCCGGUUUAAGCGUGUAGGCUGGUUUUCCAGGCAAAUCCGGAAAAUCAAGGCUGAGGCGUGAUGACGAGGUACUACGGUGCUGAAGCAACAAAUGCCCUGCUUCCAGGAAAAGCCUCUAAGCAUCAGGUAACAUCAAAUCGUACCCCAAACCGACACAGGUGGUCAGGUAGAGAAUACCAAGGCGCUUGAGAGAACUCGGGUGAAGGAACUAGGCAAAAUGGUGCCGUAACUUCGGGAGAAGGCACGCUGAUAUGUAGGUGAAGUCCCUUGCGGAUGGAGCUGAAAUCAGUCGAAGAUACCAGCUGGCUGCAACUGUUUAUUAAAAACACAGCACUGUGCAAACACGAAAGUGGACGUAUACGGUGUGACGCCUGCCCGGUGCCGGAAGGUUAAUUGAUGGGGUCAGCGCAAGCGAAGCUCUUGAUCGAAGCCCCGGUAAACGGCGGCCGUAACUAUAACGGUCCUAAGGUAGCGAAAUUCCUUGUCGGGUAAGUUCCGACCUGCACGAAUGGCGUAAUGAUGGCCAGGCUGUCUCCACCCGAGACUCAGUGAAAUUGAACUCGCUGUGAAGAUGCAGUGUACCCGCGGCAAGACGGAAAGACCCCGUGAACCUUUACUAUAGCUUGACACUGAACAUUGAGCCUUGAUGUGUAGGAUAGGUGGGAGGCUUGGAAGUGUGGACGCCAGUCUGCAUGGAGCCGACCUUGAAAUACCACCCUUUAAUGUUUGAUGUUCUAACGUUGACCCGUAAUCCGGGUUGCGGACAGUGUCUGGUGGGUAGUUUGACUGGGGCGGUCUCCUCCUAAAGAGUAACGGAGGAGCACGAAGGUUGGCUAAUCCUGGUCGGACAUCAGGAGGUUAGUGCAAUGGCAUAAGCCAGCUUGACUGCGAGCGUGACGGCGCGAGCAGGUGCGAAAGCAGGUCAUAGUGAUCCGGUGGUUCUGAAUGGAAGGGCCAUCGCUCAACGGAUAAAAGGUACUCCGGGGAUAACAGGCUGAUACCGCCCAAGAGUUCAUAUCGACGGCGGUGUUUGGCACCUCGAUGUCGGCUCAUCACAUCCUGGGGCUGAAGUAGGUCCCAAGGGUAUGGCUGUUCGCCAUUUAAAGUGGUACGCGAGCUGGGUUUAGAACGUCGUGAGACAGUUCGGUCCCUAUCUGCCGUGGGCGCUGGAGAACUGAGGGGGGCUGCUCCUAGUACGAGAGGACCGGAGUGGACGCAUCACUGGUGUUCGGGUUGUCAUGCCAAUGGCACUGCCCGGUAGCUAAAUGCGGAAGAGAUAAGUGCUGAAAGCAUCUAAGCACGAAACUUGCC
rnacentral:rRNA from 2 species